AAGAAAAACAUCAUAUGAUCUCAAAUUUGAACAGCGUCACUGAGUCAGUCUGGGCGCCAAAGUAAUUUACUUCACUGCAGCCGGUUUGGGAUUUAACAGCUCUUUGGUUCACUACAUUAUCUUCUUUUUUUUUUUUACUUUAAAGAAUUUUCUUCUUAAGAGUGUUCAUGUUCUUGUCUGCUUUUGCUCGGUGUAAAGUUGUCAGACGGUAUCAUAGAUGGACUUUCUGACCUCCUACAGCUUGCUAACUUCACCAGCUAACAUUUAACUGCAGAGUCCUCUGAAAUAAAGGACGUAACAAACUCGGAACAUUCAGAAAUGAGCACUGGAAGAUACGGGAGAACACAAAGUCGAAUGUUCAACAGAUAUUUUUUGCAGUGUGGACAGUGCACUUCUUGCAGCAUGGUGAGGAGUAACGUUAGCCGUCAGUCCGGAGCAGCAGUAGCAGGAGUCACUGACAUCAGCAGCUGAUCACUGAUGACAACUCCUGCUGAUGUCAGAGUCCAGUCUCUCCAUCAUCUCAGGUCUCACUGUGUAAGGAGAACCUGAACCUGAGAUCCUGUGUACGACUAAGUGGAUGCUGCUGAUGGAGACUGACUGACUUCACUACCACCCUGGCUGUCCUCUUCACAUCUUGCUAUAGUUCACAGUUGAAUAUCAGGAGGAAACAAUGACAUCGCUGGAGUCUGUUCAAAAGAUAUUGCUCAUCAACAUUUUUACAACACAUCCUAUUUCUUUUACAUUCAUUUUACUUGCAUUUUCCCUGUGAUUGUUAAGAUUGCUGUUAAGAUUAAGAUGAAAUAAAGAAAAUACAAACUACUUCAAAUAAUAAUUCAGAUGUUUUCUUAAAAAGGACCUGUAAACCUUCUGUAAAUGAAGACAACGUAAUGUCUAUAAAUCAUGUGGAAUCAUAAUAUGAAGGAGGGAUAAAACAGUUGUAGAUUUCUCUACAAAAUCACUAGAGGUCAGUGUCAAGUUUCUCUCUUUUACAAUAAGGAAACACUCAGAUCUGCUUUUCUCAUUAAUCUUAACUGACUGACACUUGAAACCUGCACUGAUUUAACGCCUGCUUGUCAUGUACAUGGUGUCAAAAUGUGCUUGAAACAAAAGUCAUUUCUGAAUUUGAAUGAGCCUAUUUUGAAUCAUAUAUUUUGACUCAAUAUGAUAUUUACCAUCAGCAGUGACUGCAGCUCAGUCUGUCAGUGUCAAUUCAUCAUCUCAACAGACAGGAAGUAAAUCUCAAGAUGAACAACAGAAAGCCUAAAGGAGCUGUUGUGUAUUUUUAUUAAAGCUGGAUGAACAAAAACUAUGUCCUCCUUCUCUCAUCCUCACUGAUAGACUCUGCACAGUCUCACAUUAUUAAUGUCCUCAGGUCAACUAAUUUACAAUUACACAACACAGUCAUCUGAGUACCACUGAUGUAGCUUUAAAAGUAAGAUUUCAUUACAAAAAAUAUAAUGUUAAUAUAAAUGAAAAAUCUGACUCUUCCAUCACAUACCGUAGCUUCAUUGAAACCAUUGCUGAGAGAAGACAGCAGUAAUCUAUAAAGUCCAAGUUUCUCUGUGUGUGUUUCUUCAAACAUCUGAAAACACUGAAACCAUUCAAUGUCUUUUAUGCAAACUCAACUUUUCAUGAUAUUUACAUGAUCCUGCUGCUGUUGUUGUAUUUCUGUAUGAAUGAAAUAGGUAAGAAAAGUCAACAAAUAAUGAAAUAAAUGUAAUGAAAUUAGAAUAUCACAUGUAAAGCAGAGGUGAUUUCCAGCUGUGUUUUCACUUUGCAGAUAUACAAUAAUAACAGUCAUCAGACUCUUCUAUUAGUCUCCAUUUAGACCAACAUUAAUGCUUCAUGUGUUUGAUUCUAUGCAAACUCAGUGAUCCUCCUUGUUUCUCAGAUAUAAAAACUUUACAUCAGACUGUCAGUGGAGAUCACAGCACAUCAGUUUCACCAUAAACCAUGUUCUCUGUAGCUCUGCUGCUGCUGUUGGCAGCUGGAUCCUGUGUGAAGUGUGAACAGUUGACACAGCCAGCCUCAGUGACUGUGCAGCCAGGUCAACGUCUGACCAUCACCUGUCAGGUCUCUUAUUCUGUUAGUGGCUAUUACACAGCCUGGAUCAGACAGCCUGCAGGGAAAGGACUGGAGUGGAUUGGAAUGAGAUAUACUGGAGGCUCUCACUACAAAGAUUCACUAAAGAACAAGUUCAGUAUCGACUUAGACUCUUCCAGCAACAGAGUGACUCUAAAUGGACAGAAUGUGCAGCCUGAAGACACUGCUGUGUAUUACUGUGCCAGAGACCCAAUGAUGGACUAUAGGACAGGACUGCUGCUUUUAACUAUCUGCUGGGCAGGUGUUGAUGGUCAGACUCUGACAGAAUCUGAACCAGCAGUUAAAAAGCCUGGAGAAUCCCACAAACUGACCUGUACAACAUCUGGAUUGUCAUUCAGUAGCUACUGGAUGGCCUGGAUCAGACAGGCUCCUGGAAAAGGACUGGAGUGGAUUGCAACUAUCAAUACUGGUGGUAGUAGCAAAUACUACUCUCAGUCAGUUCAAGGCCGCUUCACCAUCUCCAGAGACAACAGCAGAGAGCAGCUGUAUCUGCAGAUGAACAGUCUGAAGACUGAAGAUUCUGCUGUUUAUUAUUGUGCUCGA